CAAAUCGUACCCCAAACCGACACAGGUGGUCAGGUAGAGAAUACCAAGGCGCUUGAGAGAACUCGGGUGAAGGAACUAGGCAAAAUGGUGCCGUAACUUCGGGAGAAGGCACGCUGACACGUAGGUGAAGUGAUUUACUCAUGGAGCUGAAGUCAGUCGAAGAUACCAGCUGGCUGCAACUGUUUAUUAAAAACACAGCACUGUGCAAACACGAAAGUGGACGUAUACGGUGUGACGCCUGCCCGGUGCCGGAAGGUUAAUUGAUGGGGUCAGCGCAAGCGAAGCUCCUGAUCGAAGCCCCGGUAAACGGCGGCCGUAACUAUAACGGUCCUAAGGUAGCGAAAUUCCUUGUCGGGUAAGUUCCGACCUGCACGAAUGGCGUAAUGAUGGCCAGGCUGUCUCCACCCGAGACUCAGUGAAAUUGAACUCGCUGUGAAGAUGCAGUGUACCCGCGGCAAGACGGAAAGACCCCGUGAACCUUUACUAUAGCUUGACACUGAACAUUGAGCCUUGAUGUGUAGGAUAGGUGGGAGGCUUUGAAGUGUGGACGCCAGUCUGCAUGGAGCCGACCUUGAAAUACCACCCUUUAAUGUUUGAUGUUCUAACGUGGACCCGUAAUCCGGGUUGCGGACAGUGUCUGGUGGGUAGUUUGACUGGGGCGGUCUCCUCCUAAAGAGUAACGGAGGAGCACGAAGGUUGGCUAAUCCUGGUCGGACAUCAGGAGGUUAGUGCAAUGGCAUAAGCCAGCUUGACUGCGAGCGUGACGGCGCGAGCAGGUGCGAAAGCAGGUCAUAGUGAUCCGGUGGUUCUGAAUGGAAGGGCCAUCGCUCAACGGAUAAAAGGUACUCCGGGGAUAACAGGCUGAUACCGCCCAAGAGUUCAUAUCGACGGCGGUGUUUGGCACCUCGAUGUCGGCUCAUCACAUCCUGGGGCUGAAGUAGGUCCCAAGGGUAUGGCUGUUCGCCAUUUAAAGUGGUACGCGAGCUGGGUUUAGAACGUCGUGAGACAGUUCGGUCCCUAUCUGCCGUGGGCGCUGGAGAACUGAGGGGGGCUGCUCCUAGUACGAGAGGACCGGAGUGGACGCAUCACUGGUGUUCGGGUUGUCAUGCCAAUGGCACUGCCCGGUAGCUAAAUGCGGAAGAGAUAAGUGCUGAAAGCAUCUAAGCACGAAACUUGCCCCGAGAUGAGUUCUCCCUGAGACUUAGAGUCUCCUGAAGGAACGUUGAAGACGACGACGUUGAUAGGCCGGGUGUGUAAGCGCAGCGAUGCGUUGAGCUAACCGGUACUAAUGAACCGUGAGGCUUAACCUUACA
rnacentral:rRNA from 3 species